UGGAAUGACUCUUGAAUUCCUUGACAAAGCCCGUGAAAUCACCAAGCAGUUUUUCGCUAUGCCAGUGGAAGAGAAACAGAAAUAUUUGAGGCCAGUUGAUGAUUUUGAAGGAUAUGGGAAUGACAUGGUUGUUUCAGAGCAGGAAACACUUGAUUGGACUGACAGACUAUACCUUACUGCAUAUCCACCAGACCAGCGCAAGCUCAAGUUGUGGCCUGAAAAUCCCAAAUCUUUCAGGUAACAUAUAUAAUCAGAAAUCAGAACUUCGAACUGACCUUUUUAUCAAGCAAUCAAAAGAUGGUUAUUGAUGCUAUAAAUGAUGUAAACUGCAGGGAUACUCUAGACCAAUAUACCAGUAAGUUACAGGUGAUAACUGAAACUGUCCUUAAGGGCAUGGCGCGGUCAUUGAAUUUGGAGGAAGAUUGCUUUGUGAACAUGUAUGGAGAACAAAGGAAAAUGGAUGCUAGGUUUAACUUAUAUCCUCCAUGUUCAAGGCCUGAUUGUGUCCUUGGUUUCAAGCCACAUUCAGAUAGUUCAAUAAUCACCAUUAUUUUGCAAGAUAAAGAAGUGGAAGGUCUUCAAUUUAUGAAAGAUGAUCAAUGGUUUAGGGCUCCCAUUGUUCCUGAGGGGCUUCUCAUUGUUGUUGGUGAUCAAAUAGAGGUAACUAAAGCUUUAAAUAUCUUUGUAUAUCAAUUUUUUUAGCUAAGAUCAACUAACUGCCAUCAAAACCUGGUCUUUGUGAUGCACAGAUAUUGACUAAUGGACUGGUCAAGAGCCCUGUGCACAAGGUAGUGAUAAAUGGAGAAAAGGAGAGGAUUUCUGUGGCUGUGUUCUGUGUCCCGGAUUCAGAGACAGAGAUUGAACCCUUUGAAAGCCUCAUCAAUGAGUCAAGGCCAAGGUUGUACAAAAAGCUGAAAAAUUACGUUGAGAUCUAUUUUGAACACUUCCUGCAGGGAAGAAGGCCAAUUGAAGCAGCACUAAUAUGAUCUCUGAAUAUGAAUCUCUUAUGUCUUGUAGCAUGUUAAAGAUGAAUAAACUUGUAUUACUUAUGGAAAUGGUGGCAUGAUUCCUAAGCAAAUUUUGUUGUUUUCAUUUUUUUCUAUUUUUAAUCUGGUUAUAACUUCUAAUGGGAUGAGGAAAGAAUCGGGUAGCUUAAAAUUACGAAAGAAAAAUCAUUCAAAGUGUGGGAAACAAUACUUACAGGAGCUUCCCUAACAACUUUGGAUAAUGGCUGUGUCCAAAGUUGGAUAUGGAAAUACAUUAUCAGUUCUAAGUUCUGAUAAUGGCUGUGUCCAAAGUGUGGGAAACAAUACUUACAGGAGCUUCACAUAUUGAAGGAUAUGGGAAUGACAUGGUAUUUUCAGAGCAGCAGACACUUGAUUGGACUGACAGACUAUACCUUACAGUAUAUCCACCAGACAAGCGCAAGCUAAAGUUUUGGCCUGAAAAUCCCAAAUCUUUUAGGUAACAUACUAGCAUAUAUGAUCAGAACUUAGAACUCAAACUUUUUAUCAAGCAAUUAAUAGAUGGUUAUUGAUCCUAUUACUGAUGUACACUGCAGGGAUACUCUAGACCAAUAUACCAGUAAGUUACAGGUGAUAACUGAAACUGUCCUUAAGGGCAUGGCUCGGUCAUUGAAUUUGGAGGAAGAUUGCUUUCUGAACAAGUAUGGAGAACAAAGGAAAAUGGAUGCUAGGUUCAACUUCUAUCCUCCAUGUUCUAGGCCUGAUCGCGUACUCGGUACCAAGCCGCAUGCAGAUGAAACAUUAAUAACCCUUCUGUUGCAAGAUAAAGAAGUGGAAGGUCUUCAAUUUAUGAAAGAUGACCAAUGGUAUAGGGCUCCCAUUGUUCCGGAGGCGCUUCUCAUUAAUGUUGGUGAUCAAGCUGAGGUAACUAAAGCUUCAAAUGUGUUUGUAUCUCAAUGGUUUCGGCUAUAACUAAUUUCCAUUAAAACCUGUUCAUUUUGACGCACAGAUAUUGAGCAAUGGACUGUUCAAGAGUCCAGUGCACAAGGUUGUAACAAAUGCAGAAAAGGAGAGGAUAUCCUUGGCUGUGUUCUGUGUCCCGGAUUCAGAGACAGAGAUUGAACCCUUUGAAAGCCUCAUCAAUGAGUCAAGGCCAAGGUUGUACAAAAAGCUGAGGAACUACGUUGGCAUCUAUUUCGAGUACUACCAGCAGGGAAGAAGACCAAUUGAAGCAGCAAUAAUAUAACCUCUGGUUAUGUAUCUCUUAUGGCUUGUACCAAGAGACGAAUAAAGUUGUAUUACUGAGAAGAUGGUGGCAUGAUUCCUCAGCAGAUACUGUUAUUUAAGUUUUCUUCUAUUUUAUCUUAACAUGGUUUUAACUUCUAAAGUUGAUGAAGAUAGAAAUUUUGAAGCAUGAAAUUAAUAAAGAUCGUCAUUCAUACCAAGUAAAAGGUAUAAACUAUACACCAAAAAUUGUUGGCAGGAUCUUAUUUAUAUGGAUGUAAACAAAGUGAGGGAAAGAACACAUAUAGGAGCUGCUUUGGAUGAUGGCAAUGUCUUCUCAUCGAUCAAUCUUUCAAUUUCUUCUUCAUGCAAUGCAUUCGACUUCAAUAUUGCUCAGGAACAACCAUUGCCACAAUCUCUUCCAUGAAGGUUCCAUCAAUUGGUUCUGUUGCAAUCAAUGAAGGUUUUAUAGAUAUGCUACAGCAAGGAAUAGAUCAUCCGAGGACUACCGUUAACAAUUCAAACAGACCCUGCUGCUACAAUUUUCUAAGCUCACACAUAAAUUGAAGUGAUUUCUUUCAAGUGUAUUUAUAUGACAUAAAAUGAUUACGGAAAUGCAGUCCUGGUACCUUAGCUUCAUAGUUGCUGUUUUAGUGUUCAAAUCUUUAUGUCAGACUAAUGUUUGCAAGACAUAUUAACUACACACUUGGUUAUAUACAACAAUACAUACCCUGCACUACUUGCUACACACAGAAUUCCAAUAUAGCAAAAACUACAAAUUCCUUAUAUAACAACACUUAUAUUGAAGCUUAUAAGGUUACGUUAAGCAUAAAGAGCAGCCGGUGACGGCGGUAUCCGGCCGAGUCUGGGUCGCCGGAGAGAGAUGAGAGAAGACGGCCAGACCAAGAGACGUCGAUCAAGACCCGCAGAAGUCUAUAGUUUUAGUCAUUUUGGUUUUAUUUUUAUUUUUAAAGGUGGGCCAACCAUCCUGCCUAGGCCCAACUAAACAAAGUUCCGCCUAGAGGGCCCAAAGCUCCGCCUAGCCCGAUUAAGGCCCAGUUCUCCAUAUACCUCUUUUUUUCUGAACAGGUACCUCUUAGUUUCUCAUCCGUUUUUCACGAUGAGGUCCAGUUUCCCGUCCAUCUUCUCCGGCGAGAAGUAGACCGACCGUUGUGUUUUCAUGGAUGCUUGGUCGUCCAACAUACCUUCAUUUGUUCUAUAUGAAAGGAAGCAAGCUUUGCCUUGUCCAGACUCUCCACCUUGGUUACUUUCUGCUCUAAUAACUUGUGUCAGUUGUGUGUUGUAGACUUGUAGUUAUGCAUGUGAAUCAUCUGUGUUACUUCGUUUUUAUGUUCGUUCAGUUAGUGUUGAUUUGAAGACGAAUGUUGGAAACUUGGAAUGACCAGAAGAACUGUGAAAAUGCAAUGUAAAAAGGAUGAACAAUUAGAUAAAAACCGACACACACACUCAUACCAAGUGAUAGGCUAUUAUAUUAAUUCUGUGAUCAUAAUCAUAGGCUAUUAUAUUAAGUCUAGUGCAACAAAGUCCAACUCUUCAGCCAUUUGCUUAUCAUAAAAGCACUCAGAAAUUUGCAGCUAAAUCUACAAAAACCCUCUACAAAAUCCACACAGGAAGAAAGACAUGGCUGAGUCUUACUCUCCUGCCAAGCUCGAGUUAUUUGCAACCAGAUCUGUGCAAGAGCAACUCGCUGAAGGUGAACUACUAGUACCAUCACAGAAAUAUAUUCUCAAAGAUGGAAUCACACUUCCAGAUGCUUCUGUUGACUUGAUGGAUGUUCCGGUUAUUGAUCUUGGUCUCCUCACACCUUCCUCAAUCAGUGAAGAAGAAUUUGACAAACUAAGAUCAGCUCUAACCAAAUGGGGUUGCUUUCAGGUAUGAAUUCAAACAACUGAGAAACUCUUAGAAGUCAGAAGACACUAGAUCUGAAGUUCUAUGAUGGUACAUUUGCUAUGUAUAACAUUUUUGAGGCUGCUUAUUGUGAUUUCCAGGUAAUAAACCAUGGAAUGACUCCAGAAUUCCUUGACAAAGUCCGUGAAGUCACGAAACAAUUCUUUGCAAUGCCCCUGGAAGAGAAGCAUAAAUAUUUGAGGCCAGCCGACGAUAUUGAAGGAUAUGGGAAUGACAUGGUUUUUUCAGAGGAGCAAACACUUGAUUGGACAGACAGACUAUACCUUAAUGUUUAUCCACCAGACCUGCGCAAGCUAAAGUUUUGGCCUGAAAAUCCCAUAUCUUUUAGGUAACGUGCUCACAUAUUUGAUCAGAACUUAGAACUGAACUUUUUAUCAAGGAAUCAAAAGGUGGUUAUUGAUCCUGAUAGUGAUUUACAAUGCAGGGAUACUCUAGACCAGUAUAUCAGUCAGUUACAGGUGAUAACAGAAACUGUCCUUAAGGGCAUGGCGCGGUCAUUGAAUUUGGAGGAAGAUUGCUUUCUGGACAAGUAUGGAGAACAAAGGAAAAUGCAGGCUAGGUUCUGCUUCUAUCCUCCAUGUUCAAGGCCCGAUCGCGUACUCGGUGUCAAGCCACAUGGAGAUGGAUCACUGAUCACCCUUCUGUUGCAAGAUAAAGAAGUGGAAGGUCUUCAAUUUCUGAAAGAUAAUCAAUGGUUUAGAGCUCCAAUUGUUGCCGAGGCUCUUCUCAUUAAUGUUGGUGAUCAAGCAGAGGUAACUAAGGGUUCAAAUGUCUUUGUAUCUCGAUAUUUUGGCUAAAAUUAAUUCCCAUCAAAACCUGUUCCUUUUGAUGCACAGAUAUUGAGCAAUGGACUGUUCAAGAGCCCAGUGCACAAGGUAGUGACAAAUGCAGAGAAGGAGAGGAUUUCUUUGGCUGUGUUCUGUCUUCCGGAUUCAGAGACAGAGAUUGGACCCUUUGAAAGCCUCAUCAAUGAGUCAAGGCCAAGGUUGUAUAAAAAUCUGAAAAACUACCUUGGCUUCUAUUUCCAAUACUACCAGCAGGGAAGAAGACCAAUUGAGGCAGCAAUAAUAUAACACCUCUAUAUAUCUCUUAUGGCUUGUACCAAAAGAUGAAUAAAGUUGUAUUACUGAGAAGAUGGUGGCAUGAUUCCUAAGCAAAUUUUGUUAUCUUCAUUUUCUUCUAUUUUAUCUUAAUUUGGUUAAACAAUGUAUACAGGACCUUUGUCUUCUUACCGAUCCAUCGCUAAUUGCUUCUUCCUGCAACGCAUCCUACUUAAAUAACGCAGUUGUGCACUAUUGCACAAGAAAAACCAAUGCAACAAUAAUCUCUUCCAAGAAGGUUUCAUCAUCGGAUUUGUUGCAAUCCAUGAAGCUUUUACAGAUAUGCUACAGCAUCCUCCAUGAAGGUUUGUUAAUUGGUUGAUGCAUUCCAUUAAGUUUUUACAGUACUUAGCUUCAUGGUUGCUAACUUGCUGUAUUAGUGUUCAAAUCUUUAUAUCAUAAUCACUGUCUAUAAGUUCUGGUCAUCCAUCCAAGGUUUCAUAUCUGUCAAUAUGCCUAUAUUUUCCUCCAUAUAUCCAUUUUUUUAGCUUGGUAUAUCAUACAGGGAUAAUAUCUUAACUUUCUUUGACUCGAGAGAUAUUAAAUAUCAUAGAUUUGGGAGGAACAUUAAGUUUUGAGUGUAAUCCCUGACUGAAACUAAUCUAAACAAAGCUCCAUUAUUGAUUCAUUGGACAACAAGAAGAAAAAAAAAGAAUAAAAAAAAAAAGUAACUCAAUUAUUCACAUAAAAACAUACCUAGGUUUCACUUUCAAAAAGUUACUCAAUUACCCCAUGCCUCAAUUAUAUGGAGGUUUCAGGAAAAGAAAACAAGAAUCCAAAGAUGAUGACAUGCAUAGUUCAUAAGCUGAGUCAUGACUAGCUAGUGUGGACAAGAACUAGCCAACAUUUCAGAACCCUACACUAGCUGCCGUAUUCCAGAAGUGACCCUUUUUCAUUGGCCUAUAAAAUUACCCUAUCUCUCCCUCUGAAUUCAUCAACAAGGAAAUACUUGUGUCAUUUGCUUAUCAUUGAAGCAGCGAGGCACUUGCAUCUAAAUCUACAAAAACCCUUUACAGAAUCCACACAGAAAGUAAGACAUGGCUGAAUCAUCCACUCCUGCAAAGUUUGAGUUAUUAGCAACCAAAACUGUGCAAGAGCAACUCACUGAAGUAGAAAUACUAGUACCACAGAACUACAUUCUCAAAGAUGGAAUCCCACUUCCAGAUCCUUCUGUUGAGUUUAUGGAUGUUCCGGUGAUUGAUCUUGGUCUCCUUACACCUUACUCAGAAGGUGUCGAAGAACUUGACAAACUCAGAUCAGCUCUUAUUACAGGGUGUUGCUUUCAUGUAUGAAUUCAAACAACUUGAGGAACUCUUAGAAGUUAGAAAAAUAGAACUAAUACCAAAUUCUGUGAUGGUAGGCUUUUUAUGUAUAACAGUUUGAGGCUGCUUAUUGUGUUUGACUGUUUUCUAGGUAAUAAACCAUGGAAUGACAGCUGAAUUCCUUGACGAAGUACGUGAAAUCAUAAAACAGUUUUUCGCAAUUCCAGUGGAAGAGAAGCAGAAAUAUCUGAGGGAAGUCAACGAUUUUGAAGGAUAUGGGAAUGACAUGGUACUUUCAGAGCAGCAAACACUUGAUUGGACUGACAGACUAUACCUUACUGUAUAUCCACCAGACCAGCGCAAGUUGAAGUUUUGGCCUGAAAAUCCCAUAUCUUUUAGGUAACAUCUAUGGUCAGAACUCAGAAUUCCCCUAUUUAUGAAGUGAUUGAAAGAUGGUUAUUGAUCCUUCGAAUGAUGUUCUCUGCAGGGAUACUCUAGACCAAUUUACCAGUAGGUUACAGGUCAUAACAGAAACUAUCCUUAUGAGCAUGGCGAGGUCAUUGAAUUUGGAGGAAGAUUGCUUUAUGGACAAGUAUGGAGAACAAAGGAAAAUGGAGGCUAGGUUUAACUUAUAUCCUCCAUGUUCAAGGCCUGAUUGUGUCCUUGGUUUCAAGCCACAUUCAGAUAGUUCAAUAAUCACCAUUGUCUUGCAAGACAAAGAAGUGGAAGGUCUUCAAUUUCUGAAAGAUGAUCGAUGGUUUAGGGCUCCCAUUGUUCCUGAGGCGCUUCUCAUUAAUGUUGGUGAUCAAGUAGAGGUAACUAAGAUUCUAAAUGUCUUUGAAUCUCAAUGUCUUGGUUAUGACUAUCUAACUGCCAUCAAAACCUGAUCUUUGUGAUUCAUAGAUAAUGACUAAUGGACUGUUCAAGAGCCCAGUGCACAAGGUAGUGAUAAAUGGAGAAAAGGAGAGGAUUUCUUUGGCUGUGUUCUGUUUCCCAGAUUCAGGGACAGAGAUUAAACCCUUUGAUUGCCUCAUCAAUGAGUCAAGGCCAAGGUUGUACAAAAAGAUAAAAAACUACGGUGACAUCUUUUUCGAAUACUACCAGCAGGGAAGAAGACCAAUCGAAGCAGCAAUAAUGUAACCUUCAGUAUGUCUCAUAACUUUGUCAGUUGUGUGUAGUAGACUUGUAGUUAUGCAUGUGAAUCAUCUGUGUUACUUCGUUUUUAUGUUCAGUUAGUAUUGAUGUGAAGAUGAAUGUUGGAAACUUGGAAUGAACAGAAGAACUGUGAAAAUGCAAUGUAAAAAGGAUGAACAAUUAGAUAAAAACCGAAAGACACGAAAUAAAAACCGACGCACAGACACUCAUACCAACUAAUAUCACAGACCACAGGCAUGAGUCUUAUCGAUUUUCAUGGAUGCUCUGUUUAGCCUCCCACUUCUUUGGCUUUUUCCUCUUCAUGCUGACGUUCAACUAUUGACACCGUGUAAUGACUAACGUGGAUACAGCAUAGAAGCCUAUCCCAAUCAUAAUCCCCUUCUCAUCUUAACACAUUAAAGCCCAAACCCUUUUGCAAAAUCCAUACAGAAAGAAAGACAUGGCUGAUCAAUCUUCCACUCCUGCCAAGGUCGAGUUUUUAGCUACCAAAACUGUGCAGGAGCAACUCACUGAAGGAGAACUACUAGUACCACCACCGAAAUAUAUUCUCAAAGAUGGAAUCCCAUGUCCGAAUGCUUCUCUUGAGUUGAUGGAUGUUCCAAUUAUUGAUCUUGGUCUCCUCAUCCCUUCCUCAAUCAGUGUGGAAGAACUUGACAAACUCAGAUCAGCUCUUACCGCGCGGUUGCUUUCAGGUUUGAACUUAAAUAACAAGAAGUGAAUUUGUUAGUAGUUAGGAGUUAGGACAAUGGAUGAUAUUCCAAUACCAAGUUCGUUAGAUGGUAGACUUGCUAUGUAUAACAUGUUUGAGGCUGCUUAUUGUGUUUUUCAGGUAAUAAACCAUGGAAUGACUCUUGAAUUCCUUGACAAAGCCCGUGAAAUCACCAAGCAGUUUUUCGCAAUGCCAGUGGAAGAGAAGCAGAAAUAUUUGAGGCCAGUUGAUGAUUUUGAAGGAUAUGGGAAUGACAUGGUUGUUUCAGAGCAGGAAACACUUGAUUGGACUGACAGACUAUACCUUACUGCAUAUCCACCAGACCAGCGCAAGCUCAAGUUGUGGCCUGAAAAUCCCAAAUCUUUCAGGUAACACAUAUAAUCAGAAAUCAGAACUUCGAACUGACCUUUUUAUCAAGCAAUCAAAAGAUGGUUAUUGAUGCUAUAAAUGAUGUAAACUGCAGGGAUACUAUAGACCAAUAUACCAGUAAGUUACAGGUGAUAACUGAAACUGUCCUUAAGGGCAUGGCUCGGUCAUUGAAUUUGGAGGAAGAAUGCUUUGUGAACAUGUAUGGAGAACAAAGGAAAAUGGAUGCUAGGUUUAACUUAUAUCCUCCACAUUCAAGGCCUGAUUGUGUCCUUGGUUUCAAGCCGCAUUCAGAUAGUUCAAUAAUCACCAUUAUUUUGCAAGAUAAAGAAGUGGAAGGUCUUCAAUUUAUGAAAGAUGAUCAAUGGUUUAGGGCUCCCAUUGUUCCUGAGGGGCUUCUCAUUGUUGUUGGUGAUCAGAUAGAGGUAACUAAAGCUUUAAAUGUAUUUCUAUUUCAAUUGUUUUAGCUAAGAUCAACUAACUGCCAUCAAAACCUGGUCUUUGUGAUGCACAGAUAUUGACUAAUGGACUGUUCAAGAGCCCUGUGCACAAGGUAGUGAUAAAUGGAGAAAAGGAGAGGAUUUCUGUGGCUGUGUUCUGUGUCCCGGAUUCAGAGACAGAGAUUGAACCCUUUGAAAGCCUCAUCAAUAAAUCAAGGCCAAGGUUGUACAAAAAGCUGAAAAACUACGUUGAGAUCUAUUUCAAAUACUUCCUGCAGGGAAGAAGACCAAUUGAAGCACACUAAUAUAAUCUCUGAAUAUAAAUCUCUUAUGUUUUGUAGCAAGUUAAAGAUGAAUAAACUUGUAUUACUUAUGGAAAUGGUGGCAUGAUUCCUAAGCAAAUUUUGUUGUUUUCAUUUUUUUCUAUUUUUAAUCUGGUUAUAACUUCUAAUGGGAUGAGGAAAAAAUCGGGUAGCUUAAAAUUACGAAAGAAAAAUCAUUCAAAGUGUGGGAAACAAUACUUACAGGAGCUUCCCUAACAACUUUGGAUAAUGGCAGUGUCUUCUUACAGAUCCAUCAUCAAUAUUGCUUCUUCAUGCAAUGCAUUUGACCUCAAUAACUC
rnacentral:lncRNA from 1 species